rnacentral:rRNA from 1 species
UGGGGAAUUGUUCGCAAUGGGCGCAAGCCUGACGACGCAACGCCGCGUGGGGGAUGAAGGUCUUCGGAUUGUAAACCCAUGUUGGGUGGGACGAACACUUUCGAGGUGAACAUCAUCGGAGGCUGACGGUACCACCUGAGGAAGCCCCGGCUAACACGGUGCCAGCAGCCGCGGUAAUACAGAGGGGGCAAGCGUUGUUCGGAUUUACUGGGCGUAAAGGGCGCGUAGGCGGCCCGGUAAGUCAAAGGUGAAAUCCCUCGGCUCAACUGAGGAACUGCCUUUGAAACUGUCGGGCUUGAGGCCGGGAGGGGGUAGCGGAAUUCCCAGUGUAGCGGUGAAAUGCGUAGAUAUUGGGAGGAACACCGGUGGCGAAGGCGGCUACCUGGACCGGUUCUGACGCUGAUGCGCGAAAGCGUGGGUAGCAAA